rnacentral:rRNA from 1 species
AUGGGUGAGGACGAAGACCUUGCAGCUGUUGAAUGGGACCCUUUGAACCCUCAAAUGGAAGAAGGUACAGUUUUUGCAUCCAUGAAUGAGUGUAGAAAUGCACUUGUGACAUACUGCAUCAAGGUAGAACGUACUUUCAAAGUUGACAAGAGCGAUCAAGUACGUUACAGAGUGCACUGUCCGACUGAGGGUUAUCCAUGGAGGCUGCUUGCAUCUAAAAUGCAGAAUAUCACUAAUGUUCAGGUCAAAGUGAACCCUUUUAAGCACACAUGCCAGGAAUCAACCCUUAGGAAGGAUACAAUCAGUAGAGCCAAGUCAAGAUGGGUGGCAGAAGAAGUAAAGAAGUGGGUGAAAGAAAAACCAGCAAGUGGGUCCAAAGGAAUUGCAGAAGAACAUCAAAGAUAA